CAAAAUUAGCUACUUUAAGUUUGGCAC
rnacentral:piRNA from 1 species